rnacentral:tRNA from 1 species
GCCAAUUCGAUGAAACUCAAGGAAAUAAAGAAUUUAUGAUUCCUAAUCUUGGUGCCACAGGUUCGAAUCCUGUCGGGGGCACCA